rnacentral:rRNA from 1 species
GGUUGUAGACAGUUUCAGCACGGUCGAUGCAGAGUACCGGUGUCUGCAGAAGAAGAGCCCGGCCCAAAUAGGGAUCCAGCAGCCGGGGUAAGCACUAGGCUCAUGCGUUGUCUUGGAUUUAUUAGGGGGUAUAGGAGCUCUUAGCCGGCAUGUCGAGUAAGUCUACAAAAACAGCAGGUUAGUGCGGGCCUGCAGCCGAAACUGGGCAGGACAGAAGUUCGGUAGGGGAGACUGGAAUCCUGUGUAGCGGUGAAAUGCGCGGAUAUCAGGUGUAACAGCGGUGCGAAGCCGGGUAUCUCUGCCGAUACUGAUGCUGAGGUGCGAAAAACGUGGGGAGUAACUGGACCAGAUACCCUGGUAGUCCACCCUGUAAAUUUGGGCGCUAGGUGUGGGGGGGCCUCUCCGGUUCUUUGUGCCGCAGUUAACGCAUUAAGCGCCCCACCUGGGGAGCACGGCUGCAAGGCUAAAACUCAAAGGAAUUGCCGGGGGCCCGCACAAGCGGCGGAGUAUGCGGAUUAAUUCGAUGUAACGCGAAGAACCUUACCUGGGUUUGACAUCACCGGAAAUCCUCCAGAGAGGUGGGGUCAUUCGGGGUCGGUGACAGGUGGUGCAUGGCUGUCGUCAGCUCGUGUCGUGAGAUGUUGGGUUAAGUCCCGCAACGAGCGCAACCCUCUUUGGAUGUUGCCAGCGGGUUAUGCCGGGGCUUCAUCGAGGACUGCCGGGGUCAACUCGGAGGAAGGUGGGGAUGACGUCAAUUCAUCAUGCCCCUUAUGUCCAGGGCUUCACGCAUGAUACAAUGUCCGGUACAAAGGGCUGAGAUACCGUGAGGUGGAGUGUAUUCCAAAAAGCCGGUCUCAGUUCGGAUCGGGGUCUGCAACUCGACCCCGUGAAGUCGGAGUCGCUAGUAAUCGCAGAUCAGCAACGCCGCGGUGAAUACGCCCCGGG